rnacentral:rRNA from 1 species
GCCGGCGACCGGCGGACGGGUGCGUAACGCGUAUGUAACCUACCUUUGACAGGGGGAUAACAUCGAGAAAUUGGUACUAAUACCCCAUAACAUCACCGGAGGCAUCUUCGGUGGUUGAAAACUCAGGUGGUCAGAGAUGGACAUGCGUUGUAUUAGCUAGUUGGUGAGGUAACGGCUCACCAAGGCGACGAUACAUAGGGGGACUGAGAGGUCAACCCCCCACAUUGGUACUGAGACACGGACCAAACUCCUACGGAAGGCAGCAG